GAUUUAUCUGCCGAAAAUCAAGUAUGGCGAAAUCUGUGAAUGAUUCUCGCACUGGUGCUUUCUCCAACGGGUCCUAAACUUUACACUUUGGAUAGAGUGGAGCUGCUGCUGCGUACGGAGACUGGAUAGAAAUCACCACAUUCAUGAGGGUGUUUGUUCAGGUUGAAUUCAUGGGGGUGGAGAAGCAAGCCAACUGCAACCACCUGAAAGCUGUGUCGUCUAGAAUGAGCCCUUGAGACGCUCCCUCCUCCUCCUCCCUCAUCAUAUUCUCCCUGGCAGUGUUCAUCCAGCCGGACCGUCGAUGGUGUUCACCUUACACCCCCCAGAGGAGUACUGAGGCCGUCUUCCUCAUCCUCUUCAUCAGUCUUCUCAGGAAUGGUACCCCAACAAUUGAUUCCUACAGUCGCCUAGAUGGUCUGCCCAGGAAAGAGCAGCCCUUGGGACUUCUGAAGUCAUCUGGUCUCAACCACAUCCAGUCUGGUAGGAGCACCAUCUUUUUUCUUUCGUUCUUUUGGUCUUUCUCUUACUCUCUCCCUUUGUGUGUGUGUGUGUAUGUGGUCGGACCCGCUGUGGGCUCAUGCCUUACCAUGUGUGUCCCUGCAGGCCUGGCUCAAGGCUAUAGACCAGAGGAAGAAUGGGUCACUGAGCAACAUGUCUGCAUGCUCAUGCAACCAUACCACCAAACACAUACACAGAGUCUAUGGUAGAGCACACUUGCAUGUAAACAUAUGUAUGCGCACACACACACACACACACACACAUAUUUAAUGAUAGUGUUGCUCCAUGCUAGGAUUACCAUCAUCAUCAAAUACUAUCAUCAUUGCCUGUAUGUGUUAGCUAAGGGGUCAUUUAUGCUGUGAGAGCUGCUGUGAGAUGGUGCAGGUAAAGUGCAGUGAAGUGUCAAACG
rnacentral:lncRNA from 13 species